rnacentral:rRNA from 1 species
UGGGGAAUAUUGCACAAUGGGGGAAACCCGUGAUGCAGCGACGCCGCGUGAGCGAAGAAGUAUUUCGGUAUGUAAAGCUCUAUCAGCAGGGAAGAUAAUGACGGUACCUGACUAAGAAGCCCCGGCUAACUACGUGCC